UACUUCACCACUGCAUUCCCUUUUUCUAUUUAGAUACACAAAUACACAUAUUUAGUUGUUUCCUUGUUUCUUUUUGCUGAACCCACGGGUUGUUAGAUAUAGCAACACUUUAUUUAGCCUUUUAACGUUCAGCACAGCAGUAUCUCCUAAGAGCAAGUACAUUCUCUACUUAACCACGGAUACAAUGACCAUACUCGGGAAACUUAACAUUGACCGAACAUUAUUAUCUCAUAUAUAAUCUAUACGCGAAAUUCGCCAAUCCUUCCGAUGAUGUUACUUGAAACAUUUCACACGUGUACAUUAACAUUUGGAACGUUUUUUGCCCCCUUCAUCCAGGAUGGAAUCAAGGAUCACAUGCUGAAUUCGGCAUCUUUUCCUUUGAAACAGCUCCUGAGCCUUCGGUUUGGCCUUUCCGGACAUUGACAUUGUUGAAGAGUCCAGGCCAGUUUUGCAGAACCGCUCUCAGUUGGGACGUGUUCCAUCGUUCCUUCGAGAUUCGACUCAGGAAUACGUGUUGCACGGUGUUGGAGGAAAUCAUCAAGAGGACAUAACUGCUGGUUGACCUAUGAAUUGGACCUGGGCCAUCAGAGGCUCCUCGUCUCCUUCCCUGUCUUUGGAAUCCUUGGAAUGUGCACUCCACUCGCCUUCCCUGCACUAGAAGAUGCCCCAAGGACAUAACCUUGAGAUAGUAAUGUGGUGUUGAGACCAUCUGGACAGUAUAUAUGGCUGUACCCAGUUAAGGCUUUUAUAUAAACUUUUAACAUUCUGGCGGGUGGAUGGGAACCUCUACUCAUCUAGUAGCUGCCCUAGAUAAACUUUGUAAGUUUCCUUGUUUAUUAAAACUGCCACCUACUAA